GGUCAAGUUAGUAAGGGUCCACGGUGGAUGCCUUGGGGCCAAGAGCCGAAGAAGGGCGUGGCAAGACUGCGAAAAGCCUCGGUCAGCUGUCUAGUGAGCUUAGCCGAGGAUUCCCGAAUUGGGAAACCUCUAACGGGUCAUACCGUUAGACCCGUCGCAAGACGGGGGGUAAGUGGGUGAACUGAAACAUCUAAGUAACCUGAGGAAAAUAAAUCAACCGAGAUUCCCAAAGUAGUGGCGAACGAAAUGGGAACAGCCCAAACCGAUCGGGCUUAGUGGAAUGAGGUCCUAUGUCCGGUCGGGGUUGUAACAUACGCCUGCUCCAACCUCAUAAAGUGAGCAGAGAGUAAGAAAAUCGUUCCUUAGCCAAAUGUUCCUGGAAAGGACAACCGUAGAAGGUGAUAGUCCUGUAGGCGAAAGGGAGCGGUCUCUCGGCGUAUCGUUGAGUACCACGGGACACGUGAAAUCUUGUGGGAAGCUGGGGGGACCACCCUCCAAGGCUAAAUACUCUUGGCCACCGAUAGUGAACCAGUACCGUGAGGGAAAGGUGAAAAGUACCCCAGAUGGGGAGUGAAAUAGACCUGAAACCGUGGACUUACAAGCCGUGGAAGGCUGUAUUCGUACAGCUAACUGCGUGCCUUUUGAAGAAUGAGCCGGCGAGUUAAUCUAUGCAGCUUGGUUAAGGAUCAUGAGGUCCGGAGCCGAAGCGAAAGCGAGUCCGAAUAGGGCGUGCAACUGUCGGAGGCAAAGCUGAACGUUGAAAGCCCGAGACGUUCCAAACUCAGACCAAUGGACUUCGGUCCUGCGAAAAAAGCGCGGAACAGAACGGGAACUAGACCGACGGUAGCGUUUCCAUUAUGUCAGUGAUGUUGUUUGGAUUAGACCCGAAACCGGGUGAGCUACCCAUGGCCAGGCUGAAGCUCGGAUAAUAUCCGAGUGAAGGGCCGAACCCGUGUAUGGUACAAAAUGCUGGGAUGAGCUGUGGGUAGAGGUGAAAUGCCAAUCGAACUCGGAGAUAGCUGGUUCUCCCCGAAAUGUAUUUAGGUACAGCCUCAAGGUAGUAUUGGGGAGGUAGGGCACUGGAUGGACUAGGGGGCGUGAGCCUGCCAACUCCAACCAAACCACGAAUGCCUUUAAUAUGGUCCUUGGGAGUGAGACAGUGGGGGAUAAGCUCCAUUGUCGAGAGGGAAACAGCCCAGAUCGCAGGCUAAGGUCCCUAAGUGUGAACUAAGUGUGAAAGGAAGUGGGAUUCCUAAAACAGCUAGGAGGUUGGCUUAGAAGCAGCCACCCUUUAAAGAGUGCGUAACAGCUCACUAGUCGAGGAGUCCUGCGCCGAAAAUGUAACGGGGCUAAAGUUCACCACCGAAGCCGCGGGAUUCGUCUCGAUAAACUCAAGACGGAUCGGUAGGGGAGCGUUGCCAGGGCGUAGAAGCAGGCGUGUAAACUCCUGUGGAGCGCUGGGAAGUGAGAAUGCCGGCAUGAGUAGCGACAAUCCUGGUGAGAAUCCAGGACACCGAAAGCCUAAGGUUUCCUACGCAAUGCUGAUCAGCGUAGGGUAAGUCGGGCCUAAGCUAUAGCGCACAAGCGAAAGCGAUGGACAACGGGUCAAAAUUCCCGUACCACUGAUUUCUCGUUUUAACGCAAAGGAGGGACACGGACAGGUAGGCGAAGCGUGCCCAUCGGACAUGGUGCGUUGGGCCCUGAAGGCCAUGCCAGGAUAGGAAAAUCCGUUCUGGCGCAAGAGCUGAGGGGGUCUAAAACUUUAGGGCCAGAGCCCUGGAGGAUUCCGCCGAUCCUAUGCCGUCGAGAAAAGCUUCGUUGCAAGAGAUUUUGGUGACCGUACCGCAAACCGACACAGGUAGGCAGGGGUAAAUGUCCCCAGGUGAACGAGAGAACCCUCGUUAAGGAACUCGACAACUUGACCCUGUAACUUAGGAAUAAAGGGUGCCCAUGGGGUGAAGUCCGCAUGCCGGACCAGCCUUUGUGGGCUUCAAUUAACAGGCCCAGGCGACUGUUUAUCAAAAACACAGGUCUCUGCAAAACCGAAAGGUGAAGUAUAGGGGCUGACGCCUGCCCAGUGCCGGAAGGUUAAGAGGAUUUGUUCGAACACUUCGGUGUUCAAAGCUCAGAAUCGAAGCCCCGGUGAACGGCGGCCGUAACUAUAACGGUCCUAAGGUAGCGAAAUCCCUUGUCGGGUAAGUUCCGACCCGCACGAAUGGCGUAACGACCUGGGCGUUGUCUCAACGAGGGGCUCGGUGAAAUUGCAAGGCCAGUGAAGAUGCUGGCUACCCGCAGCAGGACAAAAAGACCCCGUGGAGCUUUACUGUAGCUUGGCAGUGGACUGGGAUUAUAAAUGUGUAGGAUAGGCGGGAGACUGUGAAACCUUGACGCCAGUCAGGGUGGAGUCAACCUUGAAAUACCGCUCUUUUAUUGUUUCGGCCCUAAUCCGUCGAAAAACGGAGACCCUGCCAGGUGGGCAGUUUGACUGGGGCGGUCGCCUCCUAAAAAGUAACGGAGGCGCCCAAAGGUUCCCUCAAGGUGGAUGGAAAUCACCUUUAGAGUGCAUUGGCAUAAGGGAGCUUGACUGUGAGACCUACAAGUCGAGCAGAGACGAAAGUCGGGCAAAGUGAUC
rnacentral:rRNA from 1 species